AUUGAACGCUGGCGGAAUGCUUUACACAUGCAAGUCGAACGGUAGAGGGGCAACCCUUGAGAGUGGCGAACGGGUGAGUAAUGUAUCGGAACAUGCCCAGUCGUGGGGGAUAACGUAGCGAAAGUUACGCUAAUACCGCAUACGAUCUAUGGAUGAAGGCGGGGGAUCGCAAGACCUCGCGCGAUUGGAGUGGCCGAUAUCAGAUUAGGUAGUUGGUGGGGUAAAGGCCUACCAAGCCGACGAUCUGCAGCUGGUCUGAGAGGACGACCAGCCACACUGGGACUGAGACACGGCCCAGACUCCUACGGGAGGCAGCAGUGGGGAAUUUUGGACAAUGGGCGCAAGCCUGAUCCAGCCAUUCCGCGUGCGGGAAGAAGGCCUUCGGGUUGUAAACUGCUUUUGUACGGAACGAAACGCGCUGAGCUAAUACCUCGGCGUAAUGACGGUACCGUAAGAAUAAGCACCGGCUAACUACGUGCCCGCCGCCGUAACAC
rnacentral:rRNA from 1 species